AUGCGCCGUAUAUGGCUUGUUAUUUAUUCCUACAGUACUACUAUAGUAGUACUGUAGGAAUAAAUAACAAGCCAUAUACGGCGCAUG